UAGCUUCCAGCAGCAUUUGUGAGCUGCCUACCUGCGGCUAUGGCAAAAUAGUCCUUACCAUAAACCUCUUGGGUAGGUUGCAGCUAUGGGGUGCAGGAGCAGCUGUCCUGGCCAUGCAAGUGGCACAGAGUACUCUGCCUGCUUCUGGGGUGGCCUCCAAGUACUGAGGAAUUUUCAUCUUCCGGAGAGCAGGAAUCCUUAAAUCUUUGUAGCGGUAAAGAGGAGGCAACAUUGGUGUCUGCUGACUUUCCCCUCUGUUUCUUUCCAGGAAUUAAGAAGCUAAAGGUCAUUCCACAGAAUUUCUCCAUCCCUGGAAGACUUUGCCUUGGGACUGCAGCUGCAAGAUUGAUCCCUUAGUAUGCAGCAUAAGCACGGUCAUUCUGAAGGCAGUCAUACAAGGAACAGUGGGAAGUUUCUGUGCAGAACAGGAUUCUUGGAGAGGAUGCACCACUGCCAGGCUCUGAAAUUAUUUUGGGUCAACAUCUCAGAUAUGGUGCUCUUCAAUGAAAGGUUGAACAAACUACCACUGCGUAGCCUAACGGAGCAAAAAAGAUGAGGUAGGAGGCAUGAUAAAGACGUUCAAAUAUGUAAAAGCCUGUUGUAAAAAGGAAUGGAACCGUCUCUUCUCCAUGUCAUACAAGAUAUGGCAAGAUGUAGCA
rnacentral:lncRNA from 14 species